GGAGAGUUGGGUGAGUGGUUGAAACCGGCGCUCUCGAAAAGCGCUAGGCGGGAAACUGCCUCGGAGGUUCGAAUCCUCCACUCUCCGCCA
rnacentral:tRNA from 1 species